rnacentral:rRNA from 1 species
AUUGAACGCUGGCGGCAUGCCUAACACAUGCAAGUCGAGCGGAGCGGGGGACGGGUGAGUAAUGCCUAGGAAGCUACCUGGUCGUGGGGGAUAACUUCCGGCAAAGGACGAUAAUCCCUCAUACUAUCAGAUGCAUCUAGGUCGGAUUAGCUAGUUGGUGGGGUAACGGCUCACCGAGGCGACGAACCGUAACUGGUCUGAGAGGAUGAUCAGUCACACGGGAACUGAGACACGGCCCAGACUCCUACGGGAGGAAGCAGUGGGGAAUAUUGGACAAUGGGCGAAAGCCUGAUCCAGCCAUGCCGCGUGUGUGAAGAAGGUCUUCGGAUUGUAAAGCACUUUAAGUUGGGAGGCGUUACCAACAGAAUAAGCACCGGCUAACUACGUGCCAGCAGCCGCGGUAAUAC